rnacentral:rRNA from 1 species
GACGAACGCUGGCGGCGUGCUUAACACAUGCAAGUCGAACGGAAAGGCCCUGCUUUUGUGGGGUGCUCGAGUGGCGAACGGGUGAGUAACACGUGAGUAACCUGCCCUUGACUUUGGGAUAACUUCAGGAAACUGGGGCUACUACCGGAUAGGAGCUCCUGCUGCAUGGUGGGGGUUGGAACGUUUCGGCGGUUGGGGAUGGACUCGCGGCUUAUCAGCUUGUUGGUGGGGUAGUGGCUUACCAAGGCUUUGACGGGUAGCCGGCCUGAGAGGGUGACCGGCCACAUUGGGACUGAGAUACGGCCCAGACUCCUACGGGAGGCAGCAGGGGGGAAUAUUGCACAAUGGGCGGAAGCCUGAUGCAGCAACGCCGCGUGCGGGAUGACGGCCUUCGGGUUGUAAACCGCUUUCGCCUGUGACGAAGCGUGAGUGACGGUAAUGGGUAAAGAAGCACCGGCUAACUACGUG